GUGGGGUGGCCAUGGAGUGUCAUUUAAACAAGUCUAACUGACCAAAAUACACUCAAGGCUAAGUGAUCAAAAUGCCCUUAAUAAAGGGAACCAAACCAUGAACCACCAAGUGUGGCCCAAACCCGAGAGUCCUUAAGUCUUCAAGGCUCCAAGCAAUCUUCCACAUUCGGGUUUGUUUAAUGGCAUGCUCAAGACGACCCCUCCAAGUAGGAUCCCGUGC
rnacentral:lncRNA from 1 species